rnacentral:lncRNA from 1 species
AAAUAAAUGGUGAUAAAGGAUGUAAGUAUCAAAUAGAGAAACUGAAGUAUUGAUUAUAAAAAUUGAAGUGGGUUUUGCAAGAGCCAGGAGAGACAGAGAGAGAGGUGAAAUAAUGCAUAAGUGGAGAGAUUAAAAGUGUAGCAGUGAGGAAAACACAGGCAGAGAUAUAUCCAUAGUGAAAAUACGAUAGAGGUCUUUCUAGAGACACAAUAGAUGUUGUGUUCACGAGUAGCGAGAGAGAUGAACAGAAAAAAAUGAAGCAGGUAUUCCUAGAGAAAGAGAAGUGAAAUAAUGAAAAUCUGCUUCUAGGGAUAGAGCAAACACAUAGAAAUAUCCACGUAAAAAAUUGAAGUAAGCAUUUCUAGAGAGAGAAAGCUAGGGAUAGAGCAAACACAUAGAAAUAUCCAUGUAAAAAAUUGAAGUAAGCAUUUC